UGGAGAGGACAACAAGAAAACCAAAGAUAAAAGCUAAGGAUCCAUUGAGCAUGCUACAAGGCCCAAUUACAAGGUCAAAGUCCAAGAAGCUACAAGAAGCCUUAAUUGGCUAUAUGCAAGAUCGGGCUAGUCAAGGAAGCCCAAUUGGUCAUGUUAGGAUAGGCCCAAGUAAAGACACAUCUGAAUGGGCUUUAUUUAAUGUUUUGCAAGUCCAAAUACAUGAAGACUAAUGUGGGCUAAUAUUUGAGCUGAAAUCUCUUUUUUAAGUUCAGAACAAUGUUAUUGCCUAUUUUUCUUAUGUGGCAGCUA
rnacentral:lncRNA from 1 species